UUUCUUUGAUUAUAAAAACAAACUGUCAAUCAUGAACAGACUGUCCCAGAGACAACAAUAAGUGGACUUUGUUUAUUGUUUGUUUCUUUGAACAAACAAACAAACAAACUGUCAAUCAUGUGAAAAUGAUGUUUGUUUACAGGCUGAAUUUACAACAACUGAGACGUCAAAAUCAAACCAGUUGGACA